rnacentral:lncRNA from 1 species
UUCCACUUAAAAAUAAGUAAUAUCCCUUCAGGGUUUGGUACAUUUCAAGAUGUCUAACUUUCUAAUUAUUUAGACAAAAAAACAAUGGUUUAGCUCACUAAUUUUCACUGCUUCUUAUAUCCCAAAUCUUUUUUUUUUUUUUCUGAGUGGGAGAGAAUUUUCCUUUGUUCUGAAGUACAUCCUUUCAAACAUCAUUUAGUGGUGGUCUCAUGUGAUCGGCUUCUUGGUUUUGUCUGCCUAAAUAUGUCUAUUAUUUUAUAAAUGUGUUUAUAAAUUAAAUGUUUAAUUUUCUGUGUCAACUUGGCUAGGUCAUGACACCCAGAUAUUUGGCCAAACACAUCUGGAUAUUGCUGAGAAGUGAUUUUUUUAGAUGAGAUUAACAUUUAAAUCAGUGGACUUUGAGUAAAGCAGAUUACUCUCCAUAAUAUGGGUGGCCUUAUCCAGUCAGUCGAAGGCCUUAACCCGUUUAUGCCAGAGGUUGCAAAUUUUUUGUGUGAAAAAUCAGACCUUGGCAAUGACCUUGAGCAGUAGGAUAUAAAUAAAUCCCACAAGCUUAGCGUUCCAAUAGUGGAGCACUAGGCAUAAAUGCCUUAAAGAAAGGACUGAUCUCCCCUGAAGAAGAGAGAAUUCUGCCUCUAGAUUGCUUACAAUUUGAACUGGAACAUCAGCUGUUCUCUAGGUCUUAAGUCUGCUGCUCUAACCUACAAAUUUUGGACAUGCCAAUCUCCACAGUCACAUGGGCCAAUUCCUUAGUUUCUCUGGAGAAUCCUGACUAAUGUAUGCAAUGUCUUUAUUUCAUCCUCAUUCUUAAAGGAUAUUUUCAUCAGGUAUGCUAUUUUAGGUUGAUGGUUAUUUUCCUAGUGCAUUGAAGGUAUUAUUUUACAGGUUUAGACUUCCAUUGUUUCUGUUAAGAAACAGCAGUUUAAUUGUUUUUUUGUUUUUUCUUUGAAGGUAGUCUGUAGUUUUUAAUGGGUACUUUUAUGAACUUUUUUUUUUUGCUUUUGGUGGACUGUGGUUUCACUAGAUGUGUGCAUGGGUAGAUCUCUUUUUUAUUUUGCUAUUUGAGAUUUACUGGGCUUGAAUUUGUGAAUUAGUGUCUUUCAACAGUCCUGGGAUGUUCUUAGCCAUUGUAUUGUCAGACAUUGAUUCUUCUCCAUUUUCUCUCUCUUCUCUUUCUGAAAGUUCAAAUAGAUGAUUGUUAGAUCCCACUCUGUCCUUCCUAUGCCUUAAUCUCUAUUUUGUUUUCUAUUAGUUCCCUCUUCAGCUAUAUGUCUUUUUUUUUUAAUUAAUAGAUUUGUUUGUUUGUUUGUUUGAGACAGGGUCUUGCACUGCUGCCUAGGCUAGAGUGCAGUGGUGCAAUCAGGGCUCACUGCAGCCUCACUCAACUUCCCAGUCUCAAGCCAUCCUCCUACCUCAGCCUCUGUUCCACUAAUCUACUUGUCAAUUUUUCCAGCAACACCACACCCUCCUGAUCACCAUAGCUUUAUGCAACAACAAGAAACAAAUUUAUUAGCUAACCUAACCACUAAUGACGCAAGAGACAAUUCUAAGGACUUUCAAAACAGCAAAGUAGGAGCAGCUGCUACCUCUAGGGAUGAGGGAUGCAAUUGUCCAAUUAUUGGUGAAAUUGUCAUUUCAUGCUAUUGGCUAUUUGAAAUUCCUCCUCUAAUUUCAGAAUAAAUCACUGAAAUUGACAUCGGCCAGUCUGAAUUUCAAGAAAUUACCUGCUGAAGACAAGAGGGAUCUCUUCUUCAGAUUUGCAGUCUGGGGAAGACACAGCCUCUACUGUACUUUAGAACCUGAGAUAUGGUGGUGGAGGGAGCCCUGGGUCGAGUGGUAAGAUUCACCCUUAGGUUAGUAUUGACGUAAGGUGACGAGGAGCUGUAGACAAAAGAUUGUAACCAUAAGAACUUCAUAGUUUUUGUAUUUUCACCGAGCUUAUAUUUGGUGUGUUUUUUGUCUUUUCUUUAUGAUUAUCAAUAAAAUGCUUGAAAGGA